GGCUCUUUGAAAAUAAACAUAUAAAGAGUCGAACCUGCCCAGUGAAUAGUUUUAACGGCCGCGGUACCCUGACCGUGCAAAGGUAGCAUAAUCAUUUGCCUUAUAAUUGAAGGCUGGCAUGAAUGGUCUGACGAGAGCAAUACUGUCUCCUCUUUAUUAUCUAAAAAUUAACCUAUAGGUGAAGAGGCCUGUAUAAAAUUGAAGGACAAGAAGACCCUGUCGAGCUUAAAAGAAAAGUAGAGGUUAGUUAUCAAAAGAGAUCAAUAAACUAUACAUAGCUUUUUAGUUGGGGCGAUUAAGGAACAAAUAAAGCUUCUUUUAUUUUUAUAGGUUUAUAGAUUCGGAUCCAGCAAAGCUGAUCAGAGAAAUUAGUUACCGCAGGGAUAACAGCAUAAUCUCCUUUGAGAGACCUAAUCGAAAAGGGGGGUUGUGACCUCGAUGUUGGACUAGAAUAUCCUGAAGAUGCAGACGUCUUCGAAGGUUGGUCUGUUCGACCAUUAAAAUUCU
rnacentral:rRNA from 1 species